rnacentral:rRNA from 1 species
UACGGGGGGGGGCAAGCGUUGUUCGGAAUUACUGGGCGUAAAGGGCGUGUAGGCGGUCCGCUAAGUCUGAUGUGAAAGCCCGAGGCUUACCCUCGGAAGUGCAUUGGAGACUGGCGGACUGGAGUCCCGGAGGGGAGACUGGAAUUCCUGGUGUAGCGGUGAAAUGCGCAGAUAUCAGGAGGAACACCGGUGGCGAAGGCGGGUCUCUGGGCCACUACUGACGCUGAGGAGCGAAAGCGUGGGGAACGAACAGG